AUCACCCAGAUCGGACCAGGGGUUCGGGAGUUAUGGGCAAAUAAAGUUUUGACCGACCGCACAGGCAGCAGUAUCCGAAAAUAGUUCCAUAAGUUUUGGCCUUGCGGUCGGUCUCUGUUCGUGAAAUAAAAGUCCCAAAAGGCUUGCCAUCCAUGGCUUUGCUGGCAUUCGUGUGAAUCCCCAUGUUAGUAUGAGUCUUUCUACCGAACGGCAGCUCGUUCGGAAGUUCCAGUCCAAAGAUAUGGAAGUCUGGAGGUCUCAGCGGUGUUUGCUUAGUCAAGUGUCCGAAUUUUAGUUCCAGACACUUAACGGCAAAAUACCGCUGUUUAGGAGAUUAAGAUGGCCGCCGCCACGUGUUAAACUCCCGAAAAGGCGGCCACCCAGGGACUUAAUCGAGCGUUUGUAAAUUUCCACUUAAGAGGUAAUAAAACGAAUUUGGAGGUUGAUUGAAGCCACACUUUGUAUCAGGGUGGUCUGAUGUUCGGUAUAUUUAGUUCGUAUGAUGAAUGCAGUGGGUCAAUACAGUUUUAUGGGGACAAUCAAACGAAUGCUUCAUACUCUGAAGAUAUAU